rnacentral:rRNA from 1 species
GGAGCUAAAACAUUUUUUUUUUGGGGGGCGCUUUUUUGGGCCCCCCCCGGGGGGUACACAAUUGGGCCCCCCCUUCUGGUUCUUUGAAGAGGGAUCAACAUUGUUUUUGGUUUGGACCAGAUUUUUUAUUUUGAAAAAAAUUGGCGUUUUAAAACCGGGCGUUGAUUCACAUUUCUUUUCUUCAUUAAAUUGAAGGAGAAAUGCCUAAACCUUGCAUUUUUCUUUAUUGGAAAGUGUGACUUGAAUACAUUAGCAUGGGAUAAUGGAAUAGGACAUUGGUUCUGUGUUUCGACUCCGAUUUCAGCUCUUUAUUGAGCUGGUUCGAGGACCGAUGUAAUGGUCAACAGGGACUGUUGGGGACAUUCAUACUCCAUGGCUAGAGGUGAAAUUCUUGGAUUCAUGGAAGAUGAACCAGUGCGAAAGCAUUUGUCAAAGAUGUUUUCAUUGAUCAAGAACGAAAGUUAGGGGAGCAAAGACGAUCAGAUACCGUCGUAGUCUUAACCAUAAACGAUGCCGACUCUUGGGAUUGGGGGAUGGUGCGCGGAGUAGUAGGGUUCGCAAGGACCUUGCUAUUCUGCACCCGCCUUCCCCAGCACCUCCGUUAUUACAAAACACACAAGGGAAACCGUUAAGUGUUUGGGUUCCGGGGGGAGUAUGGUCGCAAGGCUGAAACUUAAAGGAAUUGACGGAAGGGCACCACCAGGAGUGGAGUUUGCGGCUUAAUUUGACUCAACACGGGGAAACUCACCAGGUCCAGACAUGGUAAGGAUUGACAGAUUGAGAGCUCUUUCUUGAUUCCGUGAAAGGUAGCGCAUGGCCGUUCUUAGUUGGUGGAGUGAUUUGUCUGGUUAAUUCCGUUAACGAACGAGACCUUGGCCUGCUAACUAGUUGGGGGGUGUUGAUGGGGGAAAAGGCCGCAAGGUUUUACUACCUCAACAAGCAUCCUCUGCUGAUCUUGUCCAAAAAACAAGACCAGCGUGCCAAUUCAAAAACACAACUUCUUAGAGGGACAAUCUGCGUUUUUAGCAGAGGGAAGCGAAAGGCUAUAACAGGUCUGUGAUGCUCUUAGAUGUCCUGGGCUGCACGCGUACUACACUGACGAGCACAGCGAGUGUCAUUGGAACAGGGUUUUGAUUGGAGAUUCGUUUCCUUUUGAUUCCCAUUACACCUCUUCAGAAAUGAAAAGGGUAAUCUUGUCAACGCUCUGUCGUGAUGGGUUCCCAUGAUUAAUUUUUCCCCU